GUCCACGCCGUAAACGAUGGUCACUAGGUGUUUGCGGUAUCGACCCCGCAAGUGCCGUCGCUAACGCAGUAAGUGACCCGCCUGGGGAGUACGGCCGCAAGGUUGAAACUCAAAGGAAUUGACGGGGCCCGCACAAGCGGUGGAGCAUGUGGAUUAAUACGUCAUUAACCGUAGAACCUUACCCAGGCUUGACAUCCUCGGAACCCGCCCGAAAAGGCGGGGUGCUUCGCAAGAAGAGCCGAGAGACAGGUGUUGCAUGGCUGUCGU
rnacentral:rRNA from 1 species